CCCCCCCCCCGUCUUUCUUUUUCGUUUUUUUCUUCUUCUUCUUCUUCUUCUCCAUUGUCUUUUUUCUUUUCUUUUCCCUUCUCUCCCUAGCCCUCCUUCGGUCCUUCCCCAUUAGAUCAAUUGUAGAGAAAUUCCUAAUUCUUCUUCUGUCGUUACUCAACCCCAAAAUCUCUCUCUCUCUCUAGUUUUUCUCUGGUACUCAACCCCAAAACAUCUCUAUCUCUCUCUCUCUCUCUCUCUCUCUCUCUCUCUCUCAAUGGUUGGUGGUUAGGUGGCUUCGGAAGUUUGGAGGGUGGAGGAAUCGGUUUGGAGCAAGAUCUGUUCUAGAUCUGAGAACAGAAAAACAAGUCUUUUGGGCCCGAAAAAACCCGAGGACCGGCCCGGUUUUUUGCGGUCCGGGCCCUGAAACUUAAAAACGAAAUUUGAGCCCGACCCGAAAAAUUCGGGCUCGGUCCCGGGCCUUGCAAAUUAGGUGCCGGGCUGGGACCGUGCCCAGGCCUAUUAAAUGAACUUGGAAUUUAUUGAUGCAACCCUACUAGGAUGAUUGCUUAAUUACUUUGCUUCAGUUUAUUAAUAAGUUGUUUAGUCGUUGUAACCUGUGACACUUUCUUUGUCUCAGGUGUUAAUCAGCAUCAGCUAUGCGAAUGAGAAACUGAGAAGUAUCCACGUAAAGUGGAAGUUAUGCAAACAAAAGAUGAGGACAGCUGACAUGAGUGGCUGACCAUAUUCCAAAUGUAGAUUGUCUGCAUUGAAGCUAUGAGAGACCUCCUUAAACUAGCACAGUGGGACUUUCAUGGGGUUUAAGUUCCAGGGGAAACAUUUGCCUUGAGUGUUUGAAAUUUCAGUUGUGCAUGAUUACUUCCAUUGAUGUUCUAAGUUAAAUCAGUUCCUAAAAUCAUUGUUGCUCCAUCCUGCUCAAAUGGAAGAUCAAACAGCUUAACUUGACAUGGUGCAAACUAAGUUCAGGUACUUGACAUGGUGCAAACUAAGUUCAGGAUUAAGGAACUGGAGCACCAAAUUCCUGAUCUGAGGUGGCUGCUGUUUGUUUGGCUCUCGCAAAGGCCGGUAACUUUGCCCUAUAAUGAGAACAAUCUUUAUCUGCAUCUUGGAUAAGCCAUUUAGUCGAGUAUGCAUGGUUUCUAGGGAACAAGCCUUCUAUUAUCUGCGAGCUAUUGAAGAACCUCCUGUCAGAUUUCACAUUUUUGUGCUCUCUUGGUGUUUCCAUGAAAGCUUAACGAAGGGAGCAACAAACAAGUCCUGGUGGACCUGGACAAUUUGGUACUGUGGGCUUGUGUAUGAGUUACUCAUAUAUGGUUGUGGAGCUUAUUGUGAGCAUCUCGGCACUUGUUAUACUUUCAAAUAUCAAGCCAUAUUUCUGAGAUUUGAGCAAUUAUCUAGGUAAAAAUGGCAUCAGCUGUGGUAGUCAAAAAUAUUCUUAUGUUCUUUGAGCGUUAGUCUCUUGGUUGAUAAUUCAUGGAGAGAACUGAGAGAUUAGUGUUUGUGAGCUUUGGGUGUAAUUGGGGUUCUCUGUUGAGAAUGGUAGAGAGAGUGCGAGGUUACAUAACAAAGAACAUUUUAUUUUGACAUUAGUGGAUUAUUGCCGUGGACAAAUUGGGGUGAACCACGUUAAAACUUUGCCUCUUUUGUUGAUUGUGGUGUUUUUUAUGAUUCUAGAUUUUUCUCUUAAUAAAAUGGGUGCGAACUUGGGCUA